UCGUCACACUAUCAUUAACUGAAUCCAUAGGUUAAUGAGGCGAACCGGGGGAACUGAAACAUCUAAGUACCCCGAGGAAAAGAAAUCAACCGAGAUUCCCCCAGUAGCGGCGAGCGAACGGGGAGGAGCCCAGAGCCUGAAUCAGCAUGUGUGUUAGUGGAAGCGUCUGGAAAGGCGCGCGAUACAGGGUGACAGCCCCGUACACAAAAGCGCAUGUGCUGUGAGCUCGAUGAGUAGGGCGGGACACGUGGUAUCCUGUCUGAAUAUGGGGGGACCAUCCUCCAAGGCUAAAUACUCCUGACUGACCGAUAGUGAACCAGUACCGUGAGGGAAAGGCGAAAAGAACCCCGGCGAGGGGAGUGAAAAAGAACCUGAAACCGUGUACGUACAAGCAGUGGGAGCACAGGUUUACCUGUGUGACUGCGUACCUUUUGUAU
rnacentral:rRNA from 1 species